AAAAUCUGCACUGAGCAUAUUUACAUCUUUGUUUUGUUUUGUUUUACAUUGUCCUGCCAACCAACAAAACAAGACACCUGUUAAGAGCCAUGAGCUGUGACUGCAGGUAGAGGUCUAUGGUGGUUAGCUUGUACAAUGAGGCCCUGGGUGCCAACCUCAGCAAACCAAACCCAAUCAACAAAGUAGUAUCAGUGACAAAACAGGCCCAGGUGACAACAUAUGUUGACGCAGGCAUGAAUACAAGGCGGAGACCCCCGGCCUCUCAGUUUUACUCCAAGCAUGGCCUCCGUGCAAGCACGGCGACAAGCACAGCGACAGGCACGACAGGCACAGUUCUUGCUGGCUCUGCAGGAGGGAGGCAAGGUUUGCAGGAUGAGGAAGUGACUGGUAGACACAGACCCUGUCCAGAGCCAAGGACUGUUUCAUUUGUCAUGCAAGCCACACAAGCACAUUUCUGCUUUGUUUGCAGAACUUCUAAGUCCAGAUUUUCAUAUUAAGUCACUUUUGUAAAAAAAAAAAAAAAAAAAAAA
rnacentral:lncRNA from 1 species